rnacentral:rRNA from 1 species
GAUGAACGCUAGCUACAGGCUUAACACACGCAAGUCGAGGGGUUUUUCUUUAGAAGCUUGCUUUUGAAGGAGAACGACCGGCGCACGGGUGAGUAACGCGUAUCCAACCUGCCCUUCAUAUUGGGAUAGCCUCUGGAAAGGGAGAUUAAUACCGAAUAACAUAGAAUGAUUGCCUGAUUUUUCUAUGAAAGCUCCGGCGAUGAAGGAUGGGGAUGCGUUCCAUUAGGUAGUAGGCGGGGUAACGGCCCACCUAGCCAACGAUGGAUAGGGGUUCUGAGAGGAAGGUCCCCCACACUGGAACUGAGACACGGUCCAGACUCCUACGGGAGGCAGCAGUGAGGAAUAUUGGUCAAUGGGCGCAAGCCUGAACCAGCCAAGUAGCGUGAAGGAUGACUGCCCUAUGGGUUGUAAACUUCUUUUUUACGGGAACAAAUGUUGCUACGUGUAGCAAUUUGCGUGUACCGUACGAAUAAGCAUCGGCUAACUCCGUGCCAGCAGCCGCCGUAACAC